UACGUAGGGGGCAAGCGUUGUCCGGAAUCAUUGGGCGUAAAGCGCGUGUAGGCGGCUGGGUAAGUCCGCUCUGAAAGCCCGGGGCUCAACCCCGGGAGGCGGGUGGAUACUGCUCAGCUCGAGUCCGGAAGAGGAGUGUGGAAUUCCUGGUGUAGCGGUGAAAUGCGCAGAUAUCAGGAGGAACACCAAUGGCGAAGGCAGCACGCUGGGCCGGACCUGACGCUGAGGCGCGAAGGCGUGGGGAGCGAACGGG
rnacentral:rRNA from 1 species